CUUCAACGAGCUCCUGCUCAGCAGUCUCUACCAGCUGAACCCCAGAAUCCUCUGUAGCUUGCUCGUAUACUCGCAUCAACACAAUACAUACAUAGUAUAACAAAAUUUAACAUUACACCAAACAUAUAAAUAAAAUACAUAGUAAUAAUCUAGACACUAAAAUGAGAUCACAGGAACUAGAAUCAUUAAAUUUGGAGUUACAGAUUUUAAGAUAUGAAUUUCUGAAGGUUUUAAGUAUUUACUACAAGAUUAAUUGCUAGAUAAAUUUUAAUGUGUAUUUCAUGCCAGAACAGAGGCACUAAUGGAUAGACGAUAAUAUUAUGAAAAUUUAGGAACUGGAAUGGACCAACUUGGAGUUCAUAUGGAUUUUCUACAAAUUAAACAAGUUUAUGCAAUUAAUUUAAUACCAAAAACCUAUUUUCUAAUUUUGUUUCCCUGGUUUUCUAAUCUCUGGACUAAGCCUCAUUUUCUGUAAAGUACAGGGGCUAUCGCGUAAAAGACUCCAGACUCAGGACAACAUCCGCAUGGACGGUGGGUUGAAUACUGGAAACCAGGGGGUUUAUUUUGUAAAAGUCGCGAGGUCGAAGGGGUAUGGACAUCACACAACCGCUUGAUCUGAUCCGGACGGUCCAGAUUUUGAUGUGCCGCGAUCCGUUCUAACGCGUGCGAUCUCGAUCCAACGGCUCAUGCUUUGGUUAUCCCUAGAUCUAAUCCGGUGCGCACAACACGGAUCCAAUGGCCCAAGAUAAUUCCCCCCAUCCCACCUUCUUCUCGGCAGCAAGUACGGCGGCGCUGAUGACUUCCCCACGGCGGAGCAUCACCGAUCGAGACGCCUGCAUGACCCUCCCAUGUACCAAAAUCGAAUUGGACAGGCGCUACACGAUCCUGCGAAUGCGACUAACAUAGCUGGGAACUUACCAGAUGCAGACACAAGUCCAAAGAGCCUCAUACGGCACGGUGCGGCACACGACGGAGUUGAAGCUCUGAUGAGAAAUUGGGCGAGCAUCCGAGGGUAACCUUGCUAGUGAAUCCACGAGAACCCCCCAGCGGCAAGUCGCAACACCCAGGCCUGCACCAGGUGUAUCGAGGAUGGCGAAUCGAAGCGCGUCGCGGGUGCGGCCGAGCGCGACGAAGACGGUGGAAGAGCGCAGAGGCCGCGCGGACGGUGACAGGACGGAUCGGGUUGGAGUCCGCGAAGCCGGAGUUGGCUGCGGCAGUGGUUGCCGCCAGCCCGAGGACGGCGAAGGAACGUAGGGGGUCGGCGGCCGGAUCCAUGCGACGACUCUUUCACUCUCAUCCCACCUCCCUGUGCCCGGUAAUGGCGCCCUCAUUCACAUGGCAAGCUACUCCUACAAGCCCCAAUGGCCAAGGGAGGAUGCGGCUGGACCCUUUUAUGUACCUAGGGUAGACGGUUGGAAGGGGCGCCGUCCAAAUCGCGGAUGCCGGUCACGCGGCCGAAGACUUCGGCAUCAGUUCUGUUGGGAGGUGGAAGAUCUGACGAGUCGACCCCUGUGUCAGUGAGAGGUAAAUGGCGCCCCUGAGUAAGCCGCGAGGCUGACACGGACAGCCCCACACAACGGCGACACCAGCAAAACGGUGUGGAACAGGAUGACGGGCUGCGCGGGGAAAACAGUAAAGUGGGCCGAAUUGGAUCCCACAGCCCAGGUAGGCUUUUUAUCCCUUUUUCUUUUCUUUUGCUGUUAUUUUCUUUUCUUUCUUAUAUUUUGAAUCCAAAUUUUCAAUCUAGAAUUUGAAUUCAAUUUCACAGCAGAAUUUGUACUCAGUUUGAAUAUUCUACUUGGUUAUACCAAAGUGUGAUGAAGUUAUAUAUUUAUAAAUUUAUUUUGUAUUAUAUGAUAUUCCUUUCUUUCCUUCUCCAUUUUCAUGGUUUUGUUUUCAAAUUAGGGUUUGGAUGUUGUGGGCACAUUAAUACGUUGCUAUUGAUACUUUUAUUUUUAUUAUCCACAUAUGCACAAUCAAAUAAACUCCAGCAUGAUGCAUAGGUUAUUUAGGUGUUCUUUGUUUUAAUUAUCCACUUUUAACUAGGGUUGAUCACAUGUAAUGAUAAGUAAAGGUCCCAAAUUAUUGAGAUUAUCUCUAUUCUCAUUAUUGCACUUUUGAGUAUUACAAAUCCUACCCCCUUAACAAAAAUCUCGUCCUCGAGAUUUAGGAAGGUCUAGGGAAAAGAUGGGGAAAAUCUAUGUGAAGCUCUUCUUCUCUCUCCCACGUAGCUUCAUCUUCUCCGUGAUGACUCCAUUGUACUUUGCACAUCUUUAUCACCUUAUUUCUUGUAACUCGAGUCAAAGUGUCCAAAAUCUUGAUAGGGUACUCAGCAUAAGUCAGGUCAUCUUGAACACUAAGGUCCUCCAUUGGUAACUGCUCCUCAGGAACCCUGAGGCACUUCUUUAGCUGAGAUACAUGAAAAACAUCAUGAACAUCCGCAAGAUUAUCCGGUAACUCCAAUUGAUAUGCAACUUCUCCCACUCGCUUUAAGAUCAAGAAAGGUCCAAUGAAGCGAGGGGACAACUUUCCUUUAACUUUAAAUCUCCUCAUACCCCGGAGUGGUGACACCUUCAGUGUGUGUAACAAUUCCCAGGUUGAGUCUCUCAAAAUCGUUUGCUAAUUCAUCGGGUAGCUGGACAACAAAAGUGGAGUGAACAUGCUCUUUCCGAUUCAAGGCAUCUGCAACCAAAUUCGCCUUGCCCGGGUGAUAAUGAAUCUCCAAAUCAUAAUCCUUAAUGAGCUCCAACCAACGACGUUGUCUAAUGUUGAGAUCCUUCUGAGUGAAUAUAUACUUCAAACUCUUAUGAUCCGUGUACACUUGGCACUUGGUUCCCAUAAUGUAAUGUCUCCAAAUCUUAAGUGCAUGCACAACGGCUGCUAGUUCUAAGUCAUGAGUGGGGUAGUUAACUUCAUGUCUCCGCAACUGACGAGACGCAUAGGCGAUCACGUGUCCUUCUUGCAUAAGCACACAUCUCAAUCCUUGGCCACAUGCAUCACAAUAAAUGUCAAAUCCCUUCUGUAGAUCUGGCAUAAUCAAUACUAGCGGUGACAUCAACCUCUUCUUUAAUUGAUCAAAGCUGUCUUGACAUUUAUCAUCCCACUUAAAUUAUCUACCCUUCUCCAGAAGCGAGGUCAUAGGCUUGGCAAUCUUAGAAAAUUCUUCAAUAAAUCUCCGAUAAUAUCCUGCAAGCCCCAAGAAACUCCGAAUCUCGGUAACAGUAGUGGGCACUCUCCACUCCAUUAUCUCCUUCACUUUAGCAGGAUCCACUGCUAUUCCUCCAUUAGAAAUAAUAUGUUCAAGGAAUGGCACCUUGUCAAUCCAAAACUCGCACUUGCUAAACUUGGCGUAGAGUUGAUUAUCUUGUAGCUUCUGUAGCACCAACCUUAGAUGUUCUUCAUGAUCACUUUCACUCUUAGAAUAGAUAAGAAUAUCGUCGAUGAACACCACGACAAAUCUGUCCAGAUACUCCAUAAACACCUUAUUGAUCAAAUUCAUAAAAUAAGCUGGUGCAUUGGUUAAUCCAAAUGACAUAAUCGUGAACUCAUAUAAUCCAUAUCGGGUUGAGAAAACCGUCUUAGGGAUAUCCGAUGGUCUAAUCUUCAUUUGAUGGUAUCCUGAUCGGAGAUCAAUCUUCGAGAACACCCUAGCACCUCUCAUCUGAUCAAAUAAAUCCUCAAUGCGGGGUAACGGAUAAUUGUUCUUCACAGUAACAUCAUUAAGUGAUCUAUAAUCCACACACAUCCGUUGUGAUCCAUCCUUCUUCUGUACAAACAGAACCGGUGCUCCCCAAGGUGAGGAACUCGAACGAAUGUACCCAGCCUCUUGUAACUCUGUUAAUUGCUUCUUAAGUUCCUUUAGUUCUUCUACGAACAUCCUGUAUAGCCGUUUAGAAAUAGGAGCAGUCUCAGGUAAGAGAUCAAAAACCAACUCAACUUCCCUAUAUGGUGGCAUCCCUAGUAACUCCUCUAGAAAGACAUCCGGAAAAUCUCUAACUGCAUGGAUGCUGUUACCAACAAACUUCCCAUCUACUAUGAAUGCCGCUAGUCUGGUGGCGGUUGUUACUGCAAUUCCAACUUCAAAUCUUUCUCCUUUCGAACUGGUGAGUUCUACGGUUCCCUUAGCAUGGUGUAUAUACUGCCUUUGUCUUUCUUAACCAUGACAUACCAAGGAUCACAUCUAUAGUGCUCUCUUCUAACACUAUAGGGGUAGCCCAUCUGGGUUAGAAACACAGGGUAUGAAAGAAAGGAUUGUAGACAAGGCGAGUAAUUACGAAGAAUGUUAUUGCGAGGGGUUUUAUUAGCUAAGUAGAUUAGUGUGUCACCUACUAAAGCUAAUACAUUACCUUAUGGUGGUACAUGCUAAGAUGCCCGUCUAUACUAUUUUAGUCAAUCAAAGAAGCAAAUCAGGCAUUGAUCAUCAGAACAAUCAACCAACAUUUUUAAUAGAGAAAAUAAUUUUAAUUUUUUUGUCUUAGGUCUCAUAUCUCUUAAAAAGAUCAUAAAUGUAGGAUUCCAAGGUGUGAAAUCCAUCUUGUCUCAGAGUAGAGAAGGUAAGAAUAAUCAGAGUAGAAUAGUAGAAGGUGAGACAGGAUCAAGAUAAGUAUAGAGAGAAUCAAAGUAACGUAAGUAUAGAAUGAAUCAGAGUAAGAUAAGUAUAGAAUAAAUCAAAGUAGGAUAAGUAGGUAAGGAUUUUGUCCAUUUCUAUCUAGGUUUCGUCCUACAGUCAACAUUUCCUCUGAUACCACUUCUGUCACACCCGGCUUUAAGGAACAAAGCCGGGUGCAUCUCAUACAUGCGCCAAAGGAGACAACAUAUAUAAUAACAGAGUGUAUAGAGAUAAAUGUCGUAAAACAUCAGAGUAUUUAUUACAUAGCGGAAGACAUAAUACAAAAUAAAAGAAUAAACAUAAAACGAACUAAGGAUCGUCGGCGCCAAUGUCAACUGAGCAACGCCACCUAGAUCAGAUCAUACUCCUCGCUUUGUGGCUCCUCCUGAACCACCUGCUCUUCUCCUGUGGGGGGGUGUGAGACAGCAAGAGUGAGCUCACAUACGUUCAUAGCUCAACAAGUCGUGGGGAAUAAUGUGGCACGAACUCACCAAAGGUGGGAGUUCAUGAAGUGUAAGGCUGAUUAAUGAAAUAAAGGUUGAGGCUGAGCAUUGCUUUUAUAAGUUGGUCAAAAUUUUAUUAGCAAUUACUAAGUGUAAGUAAAUACCAAACCUUAAUAAUAAUAAAGAAAGGUAAUAGUAAAAUAAUCCCAAAUGCAAUGCAAAUGUCAAAUUAAAUUUAAGUUCCAUAAUUAAUCAUGUGAGUGUCCGAGCCGCUCAUGACCGUGAGCACGGCUAGUAUACCAGUUUUACACUCUGCAGAGGUUGCACAUCUUUACCCACAAGUCGUGUUACCCAUUUGCCACGGAGUUGAUCAGACCCCAUACACCUCUACCAAGGAGCGAGGCAGGGUACCACUACGAGGCCUUUACAAAGUUCCACUAGCUUCAGACUACCCGCUACAGUUUAUAGGAAGCUCCAGUGCAGGAAUCCCUCGCCUGACCGCCAUCGCAGCAAAAUCAACCCAAGGACCUCCCUACACUGACCACUCCCCUACUGCCCUUGCCCCUUUCGGGUAAGAUAGCCAUCCACUAGCUUUCCUAGUUAAUCAGCCAAGGGCGUCCCAUUAAACCCUUGUGGUAGCACUGUUUUCCCGGGUGGUUCUCCAUGUUCCCAUUUAACAUAAUGAUCUUAUCAUGAAUAGUAAUGAAUAAACAGAUAAUAAAGAGUGUAAUCAUGAGUAGUAAAUAUCUCUAUACCCAAAUCCACAUAAAGCAAUAGCAUGUACUACCCAAAAAUCUAGUAGUAAAACCAGUGGUGAAACAAGGUAUAAAGAUAGUCAAAAUCUAGGGUAACCUAUUGGGUCCCAGCAAAAUUAAUCCAUGCAGAUCAUUAUGAUUAAUAAGAACAUGAAUAGGUAAAAGAAGUGAUCAAGGGCACAACUUGCCUUCAACGAGCUCCUGCUCAGCAGUCUCUACCAGCUGAACCCCAGAAUCCUCUGUAGCUUGCUCGUCUACUCGCAUCAACACAAUACAUAUAUAGUAUAACAAAAAUUAACAUUACACCAAACAUAUAAAUAAAAUACAUAAUAAUAAUCUAGACACUAAAAUGAGAUCACAAGAACUGGAAUUAUUAAAUUUGGAGUUACAGAUUUUAAGAUAUGAAUUUCUGAAGGUUUUAAGUAUUUACUACAAGAUUAAUUGCUAGAUAAAUUUUAAUGUGUCUUUCAUGCCAGAACAGAGGCACUAAUGGAUAGACGAUAAUAUUAUGAAAAUUUAGGAACUGGAAUGGACCAACUUGGAGUUCAUAUGGAUUUUCUACAAAUUAAACAAGUUUAUGCAAUUAAUUUAAUACCAAAAACCUAUUUUCUAAUUUUGUUUCCCUGGUUUUCUAAUCUCUGGACUGAGCCUCAUUUUCUGUAAAGUACAGGGGCUAUCGCGUAAAAGACUCCAGACUCAGGACAACAUCCGCAUGGACGGCGGGUUGAAUACUGGAAACCAGGGGGUUUAUUUUGUAAAAGUCGCGAGGUCGAAGGGGUAUGGACAUCACACAACCGCUUGAUCUGAUCCGGACGGUCCAGAUUUUAAUGUGCCGCGAUCCGUUCUAACGCGUGCAAUCUUGAUCCAAUGGCUCAUGCUUUGGUUAUCCCUAGAUCUAAUCUGGUGCGCACAACACGAAUCCAAUGGCCCAAGAUAAUUCCCCCCAUCCCACCUUCUUCUCGGUAGCAAGUACGGCGGAGCAUCACCGAUCGAGACGCCUGCAUGACCCUCCCAUGUACCAAAAUCGAAUUGGACAGGCGCUACACGAUCCUGCGAAUGCGACUAACAUAGCUGGGAACUUACCGGAUGCAGACACAAGUCCAAAGAGCCUCAUACGGCACGGUGCGGCACACGACGGAGUUGAAGCUCUGAUGAGAAACUGGGCGAGCAUCCGAGGGUAACCUUGCUAGUGAAUCCACGAGAACCCCCCAGCGGCAAGUCGCAACACCCAGGCCUGCACCAGGUGUAUCGAGGAUGGCGAAUCGAAGCGCGUCGCGGGUGCGGCCGAGCGCGACGAAGACGGUGGAAGAGCGCAGAGGCCGCGCGGACGGUGACAGGACGGAUCGGGUUGGAGUCCGCGAAGCCGGAGUUGGCUGCGGCAGUGGUUGCCGCCAGCCCGAGGACGGCGAAGGAACGUAGGGGGUCGGCGGCCGGAUCCAUGCGACGACUCUUUCACUCUCAUCCCACCUCCCUGUGCCCGGUAAUGGCGCCCUCAUUCACAUGGCAAGCUACUCCUACAAGCCCCAAUGGCCAAGGGAGGAUGCGGCUGGACCCUUUUAUGUACCUAGGGUAGACGGUUGGAAGGGGCGCCGUCCAAAUCGCGGAUGCCGGUCACGCGGCCGAAGACUUCGGCAUCAGUUCUGUUGGGAGGUGGAAG
rnacentral:lncRNA from 1 species